UACGGAGGGUGCAAGCGUUAUCCGGAUUCACUGGGUUUAAAGGGUGCGUAGGCGGCGCGGUAAGUUGGGUGUGAAAUCUCGGAGCUUAACUCCGAAACUGCAUUCGAUACUGCCGUGCUUGAGGACUGGAGAGGAGACUGGAAUUUACGGUGUAGCGGUGAAAUGCGUAGAUAUCGUAAGGAAGACCAGUGGCGAAGGCGGGUCACUGGACUGUUCCUGACGCUGAGGCACGAAGGUGAGGGGAGCAAACGGG
rnacentral:rRNA from 1 species